AAACCACGAGGAGGAUACUGCCCCCAUAAAUCCUUAAAUCUAUCUCAUGCUUCAAACAGUGAUUCUUCAUCUACCUAUGCAAAGCUUGUGAUUCUAUUCCUUAUAU